GAAGGUAUACCUCAGGGGUAGAGCACAUGCUUAGCAGGCAUGAGGUCCUGGGUUCAAUCCCCAGUCCCUCCA
rnacentral:tRNA from 1 species